ACAGGCACAGCCGCAGGGGAUCGGCCUAAGAGGAACUGGGGACGAAAAAUGCCCCCUGUGGCUGACUUGCCUAACCUUGCUAAUCUCUGUCUGUGAUCUAUGCCUGGCACCUCGAGCAACUGCCUGGAAACCUUGUGUCAGGGGACAUCUGUGCCCUUAGGCUAUGUGUUCCAGGAAUGUAUGGCCAUUGCUGCAAUGCCUGGGUGGUCAUGUAGAAGGAAGUAACUUCAAUUUUUUAGGGUAUAAAAAUAAAACAGAGAGAGUUCGCGCCUGCACACUGUGUGCUGCGUGCUCCCGCCCUCAGGCGCUCCGGGGGGAGAGCGGGUGCCGCGGGGCGGCUCCAGCGCAGUGCGAACCUGAGGAGGAAGACACGGCGGGCAUGCAGGCCCAGAACCGCCCGAGCUGCAGCUGCCAGCGAUGCCCCAGAGCGGAAGAGGGAAGUGACUCGCGCCUGGCUGUGGGCUCCUGCUGGGCUGGGCUCACUGAGGUAGUGGCUGCACCGAGAAAGGCCUUUGCCCCUGGUCCGGCUCGGGAUGUCGAAGAACACGGUGUCAUCGGCCCGGUUCCGGAAGGUGGACGUGGACGAGUAUGACGAGAACAAGUUCGUGGACGAGGAAGACGGGGCGACGGCCAGGCCGGGCCAGACGAGGGCGAGGUGGACUCCUGCCUGUGGCAAGGAAAUAUGACAGCUGCCCUACAGGCAGCUCUGAAACCCCCCCCCCCCAUCAACACGAAGAGUCAGGCGGUGAAGGAUUCAGCAGGCAGCAUUGUCUUGAAGGUGCUCAUCUCUUUUAAAGCUAAUGAUAUUAAAAAGGCAGUUCAAUCUCUGGACAAGAAUGGUGUGGAUCUCCUAAUGAAGUAUAUUUAUAAAGGCUUUGAGAGCCCCUCUGACAAUAGCAGUGCUAUGUCAUUGCAAUGGCAUGAAAAGGCACUUGGUGCUGGAGGAGUAGGGUCCAUUGUUCGUGUCUUGACUGCAAGGAAAACCGUGUAGUCCAGCAGGAACUGGAUCUCUGCCAGGGGAGUGGGAGUUGCUGGUACAAAGACCAAAACAACCAAAUGCCACCGCUGCCCUGUGGGUAGCAUCUGUUUCUCUCAGCUUUGCCUUCUUGCUUCCUUUUUCAUGUCUGUAAAGAAGAAUAUUACAUAUCAGUUUUCCUUUAAUGAAAAUUGUAAUAACAUAAAGGAAAUUUUGUUUCAAUGGAGUUUCAUGCUCUCAAAACUUUCAAUGAUGUGUAUACUAGUCUGUAUAUAGUAUAAUUUACAUUCAAUUUGUGCAAUUUUUAACCCCUAAUGGCUGGUUUCUGUUUUGUAUUAUUUUUAACUAAUACUGAGGUAUUUGAUCAGAAUUUGAGGCCAGUUUCCUAUCUCAUUGCUAGCCAGCAAGUGAUCUUUGUAAGAAAAAAAAAAAAAAAUGAGAGACUGGCAGUUAUUAACAUUGCAAAACUGGACCAUACUUUCCUUAUUUAAGCAAAAUGUGUUUCCAAAAAUAAAUGGUGGGUGAACACCACUACCAAGUCCCAGCUCUGUUUCUGCUUGCCUCCAGAUGAUCUAUGCUGUGAGUUGAAGUGUGCUGCUUCCUCUCAGCAUCCAAUAAUCAUGGCCUCUCAAUUUCAGGGUUCAGAGCAAGAAGACUUGCUUUAUACAAAUGUAUCUAUAAAAUAUCUGCUCGUUUGGCAUGAACGUCAAAGUUUUGUUCCAAUAAUAUGGUUCUAUUUGGGGAAUCUACUCCAAAUUAGAAAGGACGUGGAAACUAUGAUGUAAUUCAAACUCGGGGCAGCCUCUGAAUGAAAUACUAUUUUCUUUAGAAAUACAGUAGUAGCUGCCUUAGACAUUAUGAGGUAUACAACUAGUAUUUAAUACACUAUUUAAUAUGCCCCAUAAAUGUCUUCAGUGUUCUUCAGGGUAAUGUGGAUCUCAAAAGAUUUGGUUCAGAUCCAAACAAAUACACAUUCUGUGUUUUAGCUCAGUGUUUUUUUAAAAAAGAAAAUGCCACACAGCAAAAAAUUGUUUACUUUGUUGGACAAACCAAAUCGGUUUUCAAAUAAUGACCGGUGCUUAUAAAAAGUUGUUAUACAGUAGCUCCAAAAACAAACCACCUGACCAAGAGGGAAAUCAGCCUGUGUUUAGUAUUUACAUUGGACACCAGUUUCAUAAUCACUGACUUAUGUGAAAACUGGUGCAGAAAUUCUAUAAACUCUUUGCUGUUAUUGAUACCUGCUCUUUGUUCUGUUUUGUUUUGUAAAAAUGAUGAACUUCGGAAAAUAAAAUGUCAGUGUUGAAUAAAAAAAUAAAUAAAUAAAACAAC